GACGAACGCUGGCGGCGUGCUUAACACAUGCAAGUCGAACGAAAAUACCAAGCUUGCUUGGUUGAUUAGUGGCGAACGGGUGAGUAACACGUGAGUAACCUGCCCCUUACUUUCCUGGAUAACUGCUCGAAAGGGUAGCUAAUACGGGAUAUUCUGACCAGCCUGCAUGGGUUGGUUUGGAAAGGUUGUUUUUCUGGUAAGGGAUGGGCUCGCGGCCUAUCAGCUUGUUGGUGGGGUGAUGGCCUACCAAGGCUUUGACGGGUAGCCGGCCUGAGAGGGUGGACGGUCACACUGGGACGGAGAUACGGCCCAGACUCCUACGGGAGGCAGCAGUGGGGAAUAUUGCACAAUGGGCGCAAGCCUGAUGCAGCGACGCCGCGUGAGGGAUGAAGGCCUUCGGGUUGUAAACCUCUUUCGUCAGGGAACAAGGCACUGCUUUUUUGGUGGUGUUGAGGGUACCUGGAUAAGAAGCGCCGGCUAACUACGUG
rnacentral:rRNA from 1 species